CGGGAAAAGCUCAAAUUUGAAAUCUGGCGGCUCUGCCGUCCGAGUUGUAUUCUGGAGAAGCGUCUUCCGCGCCGGACCGUGUACAAGUGCCUUGGAACAGGACGUCGUAGAGGGUGAGAAUCCCGUCUUUGACACGGACCCCCGGCGCUAUGCGAUGCGCUCUCGAA
rnacentral:rRNA from 1 species